rnacentral:rRNA from 1 species
GACGAACGCUGGCGGCGUGCUUAACACAUGCAAGUCGAACGGAGUUACGUAUGAAGUAUUUCGGUACGGACUAUGUAACUUAGUGGCGAACGGGUGAGUAACACGUGGGCAACCUGCCCUUAACCGGGGGAUAACAUUGUGAAAACAGUGCUAAUACCGCAUAACAGAGUAUCGGGCAUCCGAUAUUUUUUAAAAGGAGCAAUCCGGUUUAGGAUGGGCCCGCGUCCAAUUAGCUAGUUGGUGAGGUAACGGCUCACCAAGGCUACGAUUGGUAGCCGAACUGAGAGGUUGAUCGGCCACAUUGGGGCUGAGACACGGCCCAGACUCCUACGGGAGGCAGCAGUGGGGAAUAUUGGGCAAUGGGCGAAAGCCUGACCCAGCGACGCCGCGUGAAGGAUGAAGGUCUUCGGAUUGUAAACUUCUUUGAUCAGGGAAGAAAGAAAUGACGGUACCUGAAGAACAAGCCACGGCUAACUACGUG